rnacentral:rRNA from 1 species
AGCCUAAAGUAAUUAUUUUAGGUGAAAUCUGCUCAGUGUGUUUUAUAAAUAGCCGCGGUACUUUGACCGUGCUAAGGUAGCAUAAUAAGUUGGCUUUUAAAUGGAGUCGGGAAUGAAUGAAAAAACGUAGCUAAGCUGUCUCAAAAAUAUUUUAUCGAAUUUACUGUUUAGAUGAAAAAGUCUAUAGAAAAAUAAAAGACGAGAAGACCCUUAGAAUUUAAAUGAGGUUGGAAAGCUUUCCAAGAUAUUUUUGUUGGGGCGACAUAAAGACAAAAUAUAACUCUUUUGAAUUUAUAAGACGAUUACUUAUAAGAUCGGAUAAAUUACCUGAGGGAUAACAGCAUAAUUAUAUAAAUUAGUUUGUGACCUCGAUGUUGGACUAGGAAAUUAAUAGACUAGCCGUUUAUUAUAUUGGUUCUGUUCGAACUGUUUUUCCU